UCAUAACAUAAAAUUAAAAAUGUAAAUGAUUGAAGAGAUAGAAAUCACCAACCUCAAUUGUAUUUGUUCAAGGCAGCAACCUCUCUCCACUCCAAAAGUUUCCAAAAAUUCAAUUUUGAUUCAAAAGCAUUGAAUUUUACACCACUACAACCUCAACUUUGAAGUGCUUGUACUUAGAAAUUUUCACUAUAAAAUAAUUAUCCAGGGCUAAGAAAUGCCUUGUCAAAGACAAGAUACACAAAACUGCCAAGGCAGUGAACUCUCUUGUGUUCGAAAAUUCACCACAAAUUCGUUAUAUCUCCAAAUUGAGCGUAUAAUAUCUUUUUAGAAAGCUAACAGCAAGAUACAUGCAUUUCCAAAGUUUCAACUUCAACUAUAAAACACCCAAAAACUGAUUGAAAAAAAUCUGAAGCAAAUCAACAUUCUACUCAACAACAAAACUUAUGAUUAUCUUUUGAUUUUUAAAAAUUUGAAGGCCUUGUUUACACUAACAAGGAGAGAAGUAGAAAACUUACAAAUAAUGAAGACUAAUUUACAAUGCUCACACAACAAGUCCAAGCAAGAUCAUUCACAAAAAACUCACUUCACAUUCUCACACACCAUUAGAAGCACC
rnacentral:lncRNA from 1 species